UACGUAGGGGGCAAGCGUUGUCCGGAUUUAUUGGGCGUAAAGAGCGUGUAGGCGGCCAGGUAGGUCUGCUGUGAAAACUCGAGGCUUAACCUCGAGCUGUCGGCGGAAACCAUCUGGCUAGAGUCCGGUGGAGGAGAAUGGAAUUCCCGGUGUAGCGGUGAAAUGCGUAGAUAUCGGGAGGAAUACCUAUGGCGAAAGCAGGCUACUGGACCGUCACUGACUCUGAUCUGCGAAAGCUAGGGGAGCAAACAGG
rnacentral:rRNA from 1 species